AUCUGGUGGCGACCGGCGCAAGGGUGCGUAACGCGUGAGCAACAUGCCCGUAUCAGGGGAAUAAUCCAGGGAAACUUGGUCUAAUACCCCAUAGUAAAUAUUAAAGGCAUCUUUAAUAUUUUAAAGCUUUGGUGGAUACGGAUUGGCUCGCGUGACAUUAGCUGGAUGGUAAGGUAACGGCUUACCAUGGCUACGAUGUCUAGGGGUUCUGAGAGGAAGAUCCCCCACACUGGAACUGAGACACGGUCCAGACUCCUACGGGAGGCAGCAGUGAGGAAUAUUGGACAGUGGAUGGAAAUCUGAUCCAGCCAUGCCGCGUGCAGGAAGACGGCCCUAUGGGUUGUAAACUGCUUUUAUAUGGGAGCAAUAAGGCCUACGUGUAGGUUGAUGAGAGUACCAUAUGAAUAAGCACCGGCUAACUCCGUGCCAGCAGCCGCGGUAAUACGGAGGGUGCAAGCGUUAUCCGGAUUUAUUGGGUUUAAAGGGUGCGUAGGCGGUUUGAUAAGUCAGCGGUGAAAUAUUUCAGCUUAACUGGAAGGGUGCCGUUGAUACUGUCAGGCUUGAAUUUAGUUGCUGUGGGUGGAAUGUGUGGUGUAGCGGUGAAAUGCAUAGAUAUCACACAGAAUAUCGAUUGCGAAGGCAGCUCACAAAGCUAACAUUGACGCUGAUGCACGAAAGUGUGGGGAUCAAACAGGAUUAGAUACCCUGGUAGUCCACACUGUAAACGAUGAUAACUCGCUGUCGGCGA
rnacentral:rRNA from 1 species